CCUACGGGAGGCAGCAGUGAGGAAUAUUGGUCAAUGGACGAGAGUCUGAACCAGCCAAGUAGCGUGAAGGAUGACUGCCCUAUGGGUUGUAAACUUCUUUUAUAUGGGAAUAAAAUGUUCCACGUGUGGGAUUUUGUAUGUACCAUAUGAAUAAGGAUCGGCUAACUCCGUGCCAGCAGCCGCGGUAAUACGGAGGAUCCGAGCGUUAUCCGGAUUUAUUGGGUUUAAAGGCAGGGUGGGUGGAUUGUUAAGUCAGGUGUGAAAGUGUACGGAUCAACCGGAAAAUUGCAGGUGAAACUGGGAGUCUUGAGUACAGUAGAGGUAAGCGGAAGUCGUGGUGUAGCGGUGAAAUGCUUAGAUAUCACGAAGAACUCCGAGUGAGAAGGCAGUUCACUGGACUGCAACUGACACUGAGGCUCGAAAGUGUGGGUAUCAAACAGGAUUAGAGACCCCAGUAGUC
rnacentral:rRNA from 1 species